UACGGGGGGGGCAAGCGUUGUUCGGAAUUACUGGGCGUAAAGCGCGUGUAGGCGGCUUUUCAAGUCGGACGUGAAAGCCCCAGGCUUAACCUGGGAAUUGCGCUCGAUACUGUUGAGCUAGAGUGUGGAAGGGGCUACUGGAAUUCCGUGUGUAGCGGUGAAAUGCGUAGAUAUACGGAGGAACACCAAUUGCGAAGGCAGCUCGCUGGGACGUUACUGACGUUGAGACGCGAAAGCGUGGGGAGCAAACAGG
rnacentral:rRNA from 1 species